UACGUAGGGUCCAAGCGUUAUCCGGAAUCACUGGGCGUAAAGCGUGCGUAGGUGGCGCGUUAAGUGAGAUGUUAAAUCGUGUGGCUCAACCAUAUCGAUGUAUCUCAUACUGGCGUGCUAGAGGGAAGCAGAGGCAAGUGGAAUUUGUAGUGUAGCAGUGAAAUGCGUAGAUAUUACAAGGAACACCAAUGGCGAAGGCAGCUUGCUGGGCUUCUUCUGACACUGAGGUACGAAAGCGUGGGGAGCGAACAGG
rnacentral:rRNA from 1 species